rnacentral:rRNA from 1 species
ACGGAGGGUGCAAGCGUUAUUCGGAAUUACUGGGCGUAAAGGGCGUGCAGGCGGGAGGACAAGUCAGAUGUGAAAGCCCGGGGCUUAACCCCGGAAGGGCAUUGGAAACUAUUUAUCUGGAGUAAGGGAGAGGAAAGGGGAAUUCCCGGUGUAGAGGUGAAAUUCGUAGAGAUCAGGAGGAACACCGGUGGCGAAGGCGACUUUCUGGACAUAUACUGACGCUGAGACGCGAGAGCGUGGGGAGCAAACAG